CCAACGGCUCUCUUUAGAGCCACAGUCCGUGCAUAAAGCUAGAAG
rfam:Steinernema glaseri strain NC unplaced genomic scaffold GLAS_7120, whole genome shotgun sequence.